UGGUAUGGGUACGUCUUACUUAUAAAGCAUAAAUUUGAAUUGAUUGAAAUGUUCAAAUGAUUUCAUAAUGAAGUAGAAAAAUAAACUGUAAAGAGUAUUAGAAUUCAUCAAUUUGACUGAUAAAGUGAAUACUUUUACAGUAAGUUUUGACAUAUCUAGGAGAAAAUUAGAUUCUCUCUUAAUAGACCUCUCCUGAGACAUCACUAUUUAAAAAGAAUGUCUGAAAGGAAGAAUUGAACCUUGUUAGAUAUGGUUUGAUCCACUAUGGGGUUUGCUAGUCUGCUUGAGGUUAUAUUUUAGAGACUACUUGAUAUGUGCUCGAGAACGUUCUGCACAAAUCAAUCACCAAAACUCCAUAUAGGAUAUAGACUUGGAUAAUUCGAUGCUCUCUUACAUUAAUGUUUGGGGUGUCGAAUUUAUAUGAAAUAUUCAUAAACUGACUAGUUUGGAUUUUGAUCUAAUAAAUAUUAUUUUAGAGAUAUUUCUUCUAUUUUUCUGAUGGAUAUGAGAUGUUUAUGAAUCUUAAGGCAUUCUUUUUGAAAAAAAAAAUUUUGGUGAAGGAACUGAUGCUAUUAAGAGCAAAUUUGGUGAAGCUUGAUAGUAGAGAAACCAACUCUGACAUAAACCAACAAAAUCAGAGUUGAUUAGAUUAAAUCUGGAGCUCGAUGUAAAGGUAUUUUGAGUAGAUAUGGUAGAGUACCAUAUCAACCAAACAGAUACUUCAAUUUUUAAGUUUGAGAUGGGGAUUUCAUCUCCUAGAUGGAUACAAUAUAGGGAUCUAACCUUGAGAAAUAGCUUGGAGCCAUUAAAUUUGAAAUGAAGUCCAUGAAGAUCGAUGAUGUAUGGACAUUCGUUGAUUCACUUAAAUGGGUAAGAUCCAUAGGGUGUGAGUAGAUUUUAGAUAGAUAAGAAGCACAGACGAAAAAGUGGAGACCUAUUAAUUUUGUCUGAUUAUCAAAAGAUUUCAUCAAAAUUAUAGUGUUGACUAUGACAAGAUGAUUUUCUUAUGGUAAUCUCCAAGUCUAUUUUGAUUGAAUCAAGCUUCUCAGAGUUGGAACAUAUGUUGUGAACAUAUGGUUUCGUUGAGAAUAAAAUAGAAUCAUGUAUGCACAAAUGGGCUGAUAGUUCUAUAAAUGUAUUCUUUGUAUUGUUUGGAUAAAAUUUCUUAAUCAAAAAUGACAUCCCUACAUUACAGAAAAUAAAAACUUGAUUGUCAUCUCCAUUCUCCAUAAAGAUUUGGAAGGUUAUUAGAACCAUCCCUUAAGUAUUUAUGAAAUACUAAGGAUCGAUGACUUGUUUAUGGAGAGUCUAACUUAAAACCUAUAGAAUAUUGAUUCCAAUUUUUAGUUAGAUCGAAAUGACAAAAUCAUGUUAGAU
rnacentral:lncRNA from 1 species